AGAAGGAAUAAGAAGAGGAAGGAAGAGGAGGAGGAAGGAAGGAAGAAGAAGAGGAGGAGGAAGGAAGAAGAAGAGGAGGAGGAAGGAAGAAGAAGAGGAGGAGGAGGAAGGAGAGGAGGAGGAGGAAGGAAGAAGAAGAGGAGGAAGAGGAGGAGAGGAGGAGGAGGAAUAAGAAGAAGAAGAGGAAGGAAGAGGAGGAGGAGGAAGGAAGAAGAAGAAGAGGAGGAGGAGGAAGGAGAGGAGGAGGAGGAAGGAAGAAGAAGGAGAGGAAGGAAGAGGAGGAGGAGGAAGGAAGAAGAAGGGGAGGAGGAAGGAAGAAGAAGAGGAGGAGGAAGGAAGAAGAAGAGGAGGAGGAGGAAGGAGAGGAGGAGGAGGAAGGAAGAAGAAGGAGAGGAAGGAAGAGGAGGAGGAGGAAGGAAGAAGAAGGGGAGGAGGAAGGAAGAAGAAGAGGAGGAGGAAGGAAGAAGAAGAGGAGGAGGAGGAAGGAAGAAGAAGAGGAGGAGGAGGAGGAGGAAGGAAGAAGAAGAAGAGGAGGAGGAGGAAGGAGAGGAGGAGGAGGAAGGAAGAAGAAGAGGAGGAGGAGGAAGGAAGAAGAAGAGGAGGAGGAAGGAAGGAAGGAAGAAGAAGAGGAGGAGGAGGAAGGAGAAGAGGAGGAGGAAGGAAGAAGAAGAAGAGGAGGAGGAAGGAAGAACAAGAGGAGGAGGAGGAGGAGGAAGGAAGAAGAAGAAGAGGAGGAGGAAGGAAGAAGAAGAAGGAAGGAAGAAGAAGAGGAGGAGGAGGAAGGAAGGAAGAGGAGGAGGAGGAGGAGGAGGAGGAGGAGGAAGGAAGAAGAAGAAGGAAGAAGAAGAAGAGGAAGAAGGAAGAAGAAGGGAUAAGAAGAAGAGGAGGAAGGAAGAAGAAGAGGAGGAGGAAGGAAGAAGAAGAGGAGGAGGAAGGAAGAAGAAGAAGAAGAGGAGGAGGAGGAAGAAGAAGAAGAGGAGGAAGGAAGAAGAAGGGAUAAGAAGAAGAGGAGGAAGGAAGAAGAGGAGGAGGAGGAGGAAGGAAGAAGAAGAAGAAGGAAGAAGAAGAGGAGGAGGAGGAAGGAAGAAGAAGAAGAAGAGGAGGAGGAAGAAGAAGAAGGGAUAA
rnacentral:lncRNA from 1 species